rnacentral:rRNA from 1 species
GACAGAGGUGCCAAGCGUUAGGCGGAAUCACUGGGCUUAAAGCGUGUGUAGGCGGACCCGUCAGUACCUUGUGAAAUCCCACGGCUCAACCGUGGAACUGCUCGGUAUACUGCGGGUCUUGAGCCACUUAGGGGCUGUCGGAACAAACGGUGGAGCGGUGAAAUGCGUAGAUAUCAUUUGGAACGCCAAUGGUGAAAACAGGUAGCUGGGAGUGUGCUGACGCUGAGACGCGAAAGCCAGGGGAGCGAACGGG